rnacentral:rRNA from 1 species
CCUUCGGGAGCAGGUGUAGAGGUGCUGCAUGGCUGUCGUCAGCUCGUGUUGUGAGAUGUUGGUUAAGUCCCGCAACGAGCGCAACCCCUGCCCUUAGUUGCCAUCGGGUCACGCCGGGAACCCUAAGGGGACCGCCCGGACAACGGGGAGGAAGGUGGGGAUGACGUCAAGUCAGCAUGGCCUUUAUGUCCAGGGCUACACACGUGCUACAAUGGUUGGUACAAAGGGUUGCCAAGCCGUGAGGCGGAGCCAAUCUCAAAAAGCCAAACCUCAGUUCGGAUUGCAGUCUGCAACUCGACUGCAUGAAGUUGGAAUCGCUAGUAAUCGCUGAUCAGCAGGCACGCGGUUCCGAAUACGUUCCGGCCUU